CCCUACGGGGGGCAGCAGUAGGGAAUUUUCGUCAAUGGGCGCAAGCCUGAACGAGCGAUGCCGCGUGAGUGAAGAAGGCCUUCGGGUCGUAAAGCUCUGUUGCGGGGGAAAAAAGGCAGCAUCAGGAAAUGGGUGCUGACUGAUGGUGCCCCGCCAGAAAGUCACGGCUAACUACGUGCCAGCAGCCGCGGUAAUACGUAGGUGGCGAGCGUUAUCCGGAAUGAUUGGGCGUAAAGGGUGCGCAGGCGGCCGCCUAAGCGGUACCUCU
rnacentral:rRNA from 1 species